rnacentral:rRNA from 1 species
AAUCAACGCUGGCGGCGUGCCUCAGACAUGCAAGUCGAACGCGAAAUUCCGAGCAAUCGGGAAAGUAGAGUGGCGCACGGGUGAGUAACACGUAGGUAAUCUACCUUUGGAUGGGGAAUAACAACCGGAAACGGUUGCUAAUACCGCAUAAUGCAGCGGCACCUAAUGGUGACAGUUGUUAAAGCGGGGGAUCGAAAGACCUCGCGUCUAAAGAGGAGCCUGCGGCGGAUUAGCUAGNGGUAAGGUAAUGGCUUACCAAGGCUACGAUCCGUAACCGGCCUGAGAGGGCGGUCGGUCACACUGACACUGACAUACGGGUCAGACUCCUACGGGAGGCAGCAGUCGGGAAUUUUGGGCAAUGGGCGAAAGCCUGACCCAGCAACGCCGCGUGAAGGAUGAAAUCCC